CAUGCAAGUCGAACGAAGCACUUUAUUUGAUUUCCUUCGGGACUGAUUAUUUUGUGACUGAGUGGCGGACGGGUGAGUAACGCGUGGGUAACCUGCCUUGUACAGGGGGAUAACAGUUGGAAACGGCUGCUAAUACCGCAUAAGCGCACGGCAUCGCAUGAUGCAGUGUGAAAAACUCCGGUGGUAUAAGAUGGACCCGCGUUGGAUUAGCUAGUUGGUGAGGUAACGGCCCACCAAGGCGACGAUCCAUAGCCGACCUGAGAGGGUGACCGGCCACAUUGGGACUGAGACACGGCCCAAACUCCUACGGGAGGCAGCAGUGGGGAAUAUUGCACAAUGGGCGAAAGCCUGAUGCAGCGACGCCGCGUGAGCGAAGAGGUAUUUCGGUAUGUAAAGCUCUAUCAGCAGGGAAGAUAAUGACGGUACCUGACUAAGAAGCACCGGCUAAAUACGUGCCAGCAGCCGCGGUAAUACGUAUGGUGCAAGCGUUAUCCGGAUUUACUGGGUGUAAAGGGUGCGCAGGCGGUGCGGCAAGUCUGAUGUGAAAGCCCGGGGCUUAACCCCGGUACUGCAUUGGAAACUGUCGUACUAGAGUGUCGGAGGGGUAAGCGGAAUUCCUAGUGUAGCGGUGAAAUGCGUAGAUAUUAGGAGGAACACCAGUGGCGAAGGCGGCUUACUGGACGAUAACUGACGCUGAGGCUCGAAAGCGUGGGGAGCAAACAGGAUUAGAUACCCUGGUAGUCCACGCCGUAAA
rnacentral:rRNA from 1 species